UUCGUUUCUCGUUUUUUUUAUAUAGAUUAGACCGUUGGUUUUCCCGUUUGAAUGGUUUUACACUAGUUAUUUUGGAGGCCUUUAUAGCUUGUUGUUCGGUUUGAUCCAAGGCUCCGUGUUGAAAGCCGUACAUUGACCUAUAAUGGUUUACUUUUUUAAAUUGUUAUUUGGAUGGAGAGUUGUCUCAUUGGCAUUCACACCACAUCUUCCUAUACCUAUCUAUUUAUAUUUAUGAAAAGCUGUACAUUUUCCAAAACCUUGUUUAACGUAAGUAGCUGAUAACAGCACGAACAAUGAUAACUGAAUAAUUUACUUUUUUUCAAAUUUCUUUUCCAUAUUUUUUUCUACAAUUUCAAAAAGGUCAAUCUUAUUUUGCUACCAGAUGAUGUUUCAG
rnacentral:lncRNA from 1 species